rnacentral:rRNA from 1 species
GCUGGCGGCGUGCCUAAUACAUGCAAGUAGAACGCUGAAGAGAGGAGCUUGCUCUUCUUGGAUGAGUUGCGAACGGGUGAGUAACGCGUAGGUAACCUGCCUUGUAGCGGGGGAUAACUAUUGGAAACGAUAGCUAAUACCGCAUAACAAUGGAUGACACAUGUCAUUUAUUUGAAAGGGGCAAUUGCUCCACUACAAGAUGGACCUGCGUUGUAUUAGCUAGUAGGUGAGGUAAUGGCUCACCUAGGCGACGAUACAUAGCCGACCUGAGAGGGUGAUCGGCCACACUGGGACUGAGACACGGCCCAGACUCCUACGGGAGGCAGCAGUAGGGAAUCUUCGGCAAUGGGGGCAACCCUGACCGAGCAACGCCGCGUGAGUGAAGAAGGUUUUCGGAUCGUAAAGCUCUGUUGUAAGUCAAGAACGGGUGUGAGAGUGGAAAGUUCACACUGUGACGGUAGCUUACCAGAAAGGGACGGCUAACUACGUGCCAGCAGCCGCGGUAAUACGUAGGUCCCGAGCGUUGUCCGGAUUUAUUGGGCGUAAAGCGAGCGCAGGCGGUUUGAUAAGUCUGAAGUUAAAGGCUGUGGCUCAACCAUAGUUCGCUUUGGAAACUGUCAAACUUGAGUGCAGAAGGGGAGAGUGGAAUUCCAUGUGUAGCGGUGAAAUGCGUAGAUAUAUGGAGGAACACCGGUGGCGAAAGCGGCUCUCUGGUCUGUAACUGACGCUGAGGCUCGAAAGCGUGGGGAGCGAACAGGAUUAGAUACCCUGGUAGUCCACGCCGUAAACGAUGAGUGCUAGGUGUUGGAUCCUUUCCGGGAUUCAGUGCCGCAGCUAACGCAUUAAGCACUCCGCCUGGGGAGUACGACCGCAAGGUUGAAACUCAAAGGAAUUGACGGGGGCCCGCACAAGCGGUGGAGCAUGUGGUUUAAUUCGAAGCAACGCGAAGAACCUUACCAGGUCUUGACAUCCCGAUGCUAUUUCUAGAGAUAGAAAGUUACUUCGGUACAUCGGUGACAGGUGGUGCAUGGUUGUCGUCAGCUCGUGUCGUGAGAUGUUGGGUUAAGUCCCGCAACGAGCGCAACCCCUAUUGUUAGUUGCCAUCAUUCAGUUGGGCACUCUAGCGAGACUGCCGGUAAUAAACCGGAGGAAGGUGGGGAUGACGUCAAAUCAUCAUGCCCCUUAUGACCUGGGCUACACACGUGCUACAAUGGUUGGUACAACGAGUUGCGAGUCGGUGACGGCGAGCUAAUCUCUUAAAGCCAAUCUCAGUUCGGAUUGUAGGCUGCAACUCGCCUACAUGAAGUCGGAAUCGCUAGUAAUCGCGGAUCAGCACGCCGCGGUGAAUACGUUCCCGGGCCUUGUACACACCGCCCGUCACACCACGAGAGUUUGUAACACCCGAAGUCGGUGAGGUAACCUUUUGGAGCCAGCCGCCUAAGGUGGGAC